rnacentral:rRNA from 1 species
GACAGAGGGGGCAAGCGUUGCUCGGAAUUACUGGGCGUAAAGGGCGCGUAGGCGGGAUGGCAAGUCGGUCGUGAAAUCCCUCGGCUCAACUGAGGAUCGUCGAUCGAUACUGCCGUUCUUGAGGAUUGCAGAGGAGACUGGAAUUCCCGGUGUAGCGGUGAAAUGUGUAGAGAUGUGGAGGAACACCGAUGGCGAAGGCAGCCUUCUGGGCCAAUACUGACGCUCAUGCACGAAAGCGUGGGGAGCAAACAGG